GUCCGUGUGGUGUAAUGGACAACACAUCUGUCUUCCAAACAGAUGAUCCGGGUUCAAUUCCCGGUACGGGCU
rnacentral:tRNA from 1 species